UGAAAGCAAAGUCUUAGAUUCCACAGAGG
rnacentral:piRNA from 1 species